GUUCUUUUCAAGGCAGCCCUUUCAUUCCCUUCUGAUAAGCACUCCCUCCUUUCCUCCCUUCAGGCUUAGGGAUGUUAACUGCCCUGCGGCUGCCAACCCCAGAUAGGAUUGAAGAGGAGUAGAAGAAAGAUAACAGAUUCCAGGGCCUAGCAAAUGUCCAGCACAGCAGCUGCUCCAUAAACAUUUGCUCAACAUAACUGAAUUGAGGUAAGAAAGUAACUACAAGAUCCAGCAGAAAAUAGAAAGUGACACAAAGGGACUGACAUGUCCUGCUAUUGCUGUCUACAUCAGUCCUUGAGUUGAAAUAGGGGCAGAAGAUGGAAAAAGUGGGGGAAAAUGUGAAAGAAAUGAAGAGAGAUGAAAGGAAAGACAUUAAAAAUAGAACAAGGGGACCAGUGGUAAAAUGAAGAAAAUCCAAAGGGUAAAAACCAGUAGAAACUUGC
rnacentral:lncRNA from 1 species